GCUCCUGUGGCUUAAUGGUUAUAACAUUGUAUUCGAUAUCCAAUGAUCGUGCGGUCGAAUUCCGCCAGGAGCU